rnacentral:rRNA from 1 species
UACGGAGGAUCCUAGUGUUAUCCGGAUUUAUUGGGUUUAAAGGGAGCGUAGGCGGGAGGUCAAGUCAGCUGUGAAAUGUAUCUGCUUAACGGGUACACUGCAGUUGAAACUGGUUUUCUUGAGUGCGUAAGAGGCAGGCGGAAUUCGUUGUGUAGCGGUGAAAUGCUUAGAUAUGACGAGGAACUCCUAUUGCGAAGGCAGCUUGCUGGAUCGUUACUGACGCUGAUGCUCGAAGGUGCGGGGAUCAAACAGGAUUAGA